ACAUGAAGCGAUGUCUCUUCUACUUCGGCUUAUUUCCUCAAAACUUUGAGAUCCCAGCAAGAAGAUUGAUUGCGUUAUGGAUUGCAGAGGGUUUGGUGUAUCCAAAAGAAGAGACCGAAACUCCUGAAGAUGUUGCUAAGAAGUACCUGACAAAGCUAAUUGGCCAGUGCAUGGUCCAAGUAACAAAGAAGAAGGUUAAUGGAGAAGUUCAAGCGUGUCGCUUGCCGGAUCCCAUACGGAAAUAAUGGUUUUUGAAAGCCAAGAAAGCUACAUUUCUUCAACGUCAGACAAGCAUAACAUCAUCAGAGAUAUCUUUGGGCACUGGUAUGGUCCGCCGUCUUGUUGAUCAUCUUGAUGAAUCAGAUGCCAGCUUUACUCAUAUCCAUGGUCAUCACAACACAAUUUCAAUUCCUUUGAAAGCUCAUUAUGAAGCUACCUCCUCUUUCAUUUCAUUUGACACUCGAGAAGGAAGCCUACCAGGAGACAAUAUUAGGAACUUUCUCCACCGAUGCAUUUCUAGUGGUUGCUUCCUAUUAUUGCAGGUCCUUGACCUUGAACAUGUGUACAAACCUAAUUUGCCAGUGGAACUAGGUAAACUAACUCGCUUGAGGUACCUUGGCUUGAGAAGGACGUACUUGGAGAUGCUUCCAUCAUCCAUAAGCAAGUUGCUAAAUCUCCUGACACUGGACUUGAAGCACACUAGGUGGUGUUUGUUUUUUUACUUAAUUCUAAAUAGAACCUUAAUGCUUAAUAGUGUUAAAUAUUAGGUUGUUUGUUUUUGUAGUAUUUUAUUUCUAUUAAGUAUUAAAAAGUAAAAAAAACCAAUAUGUUAUUUUUUCUAUUUAGAAAAAGCUACAUAUUUUGGCUUUUUCUAUUUAGUAAAAAGUUUAUAAUAAGUCAUGAAAAAGUAGAAAAAAAAACAACCUAAAUUCUAAAACUAAAUUGCUUUUAGCAAAAAGCCAAAAAAACAAACACCACCUAACAUCAUCACUCUUCCUAGUGUGAUUUGGAAGUUGCAACAACUGCGACAUUUAUACUUGAAUGAGAGUUAUUGGAGUAAGUUUAUGCAUCAACCUUCAGCUGGGUCUCUAACAGCUCUUCAAACCUUAUGGGGACUAUUCGUAGAUGAGAAGACUCCAGUGAAGGAUGGCCUAGACAGGUUUGUCACUCUUAGAAAAUUGGCUGUGAAAUUUCGGUUAACUCCAUCUCAACAGGAGGCAAUGUUGUCACAGUUGGAGGCAGUGGCUGAUUGGGUUUUAAAACUGAGCCAUCUUCAGUCUCUGAGGCUAACAUCAAUUGAUG
rnacentral:lncRNA from 1 species